UACGAAGGGGGCUAGCGUUGUUCGGAAUUACUGGGUGUAAAGGGCGCGUAGGCGGCGCAACAAGUCACUUGUGAAAUCUCCGGGCUUAACCCGGAGCGGUCAAGUGAUACUGUCGUGCUAGAGUGCGGAAGGGGCUACUGGAAUUCUCGGUGUAGCGGUGAAAUGCGUAGAUAUCGAGAGGAACACCUGCGGCGAAGGCGGGUAGCUGGGCCGACACUGACGCUGAUGCGCGAAAGCCAGGGGAGCGAACGGG
rnacentral:rRNA from 1 species